rnacentral:rRNA from 1 species
GACGAACGCUGGCGGCGUGCUUAACACAUGCAAGUCGAACGGAAAGGCCCUGCUUUUGUGGGGUGCUCGAGUGGCGAACGGGUGAGUAACACGUGAGUAACCUGCCCUUGACUUUGGGAUAACUUCAGGAAACUGGGGCUAAUACCGGAUAGGAGCUCCUGCUGCAUGGUGGGGGUUGGAAAGUUUCGGCGGUUGGGGAUGGACUCGCGGCUUAUCAGCUUGUUGGUGGGGUAGUGGCUUACCAAGGCUUUGACGGGUAGCCGGCCUGAGAGGGUGACCGGCCACAUUGGGACGGAGAUACGGCCCAGACUCCUACGGGAGGCAGCGGUGGAGAAUAUUACAUAAUGGGCGGAAGCCUGAUGCAGCAACGCAGCGUGCGGGAUGACGGCCUUCGGGUUGUAAACCGCUUUCGCCUGUGACGAAGCGUGAGUGACGGUAAUGGGUAAAGAAGCACCGGCUAACUACGUG